AUUGAACGCUGGCGGCAGGCCUAACACAUGCAAGUCGAACGGUAACAGGAAGCAGCUUGCUGCUUUGCUGACGAGUGGCGGACGGGUGAGUAAUGUCUGGGAAACUGCCCGAUGGAGGGGGAUAACUACUGGAAACGGUAGCUAAUACCGCAUAACGUCGCAAGACAAAAGAGGGGGACCUUAGGGCCUCUUGCCAUCGGAUGUGCCCAGAUGGGAUUAGCUAGUAGGUGGGGUAACGGCUCACCUAGGCGACGAUCCCUAGCUGGUCUGAGAGGAUGACCGGCGACACUGGAGCUGAGACACGGUCCAGACUCCUACGGGAGGCAGCAGUGGGGAAUAUUGCACAAUAGGCGCAAACCUGAUGCAGCCAUGCCGCGUGUAUGAAGGAAGCCUUCGGGUUGUAAAGUACUUUCAGCGGGGAGGAAGGGAGUAAAGUUAAUACCUUUGCUCAUUGACGUUACCCGCAAAAGAAGCACCGGCUAACUCCGUG
rnacentral:rRNA from 1 species